AGCAGUAUGGUGUAAUGAUGCACACAGGGUUUUCUUGGCAAUGAAUCCACAAUCUGUAUUCCUGAGGUCCUUGUUCGAAUCAAGGUACUGCUC